rnacentral:rRNA from 1 species
CAGCCGCCACGGGAAUACGUAGGGUGCAAGCGUUAAUCGGAAUUACUGGGCGUAAAGCGUGCGCAGGCGGUUAUAUAAGACAGAUGUGAAAUCCCCGGGCUCAACCUGGGAACUGCAUUUGUGACUGUAUAGCUAGAGUACGGCAGAGGGGGAUGGAAUUCCGCGUGUAGCAGUGAAAUGCGUAGAUAUGCGGAGGAACACCGAUGGCGAAGGCAAUCCCCUGGGCCUGUACUGACGCUCAUGCACGAAAGCGUGGGGAGCAAACAGGAUUAGAUACCCCGGUAGUCCCUGUCUCUUAUAA